UGUAACUGUUAACAUGUAAGCCGCUGCUUG
rnacentral:piRNA from 1 species